UUGUUGGAGAGUUUGAUCCUGGCUCAGGACGAACGCUGGCGGCGUGCUUAACACAUGCAAGUCGAACGCUGAAGCCUGGUCUUUUGGCUGGGUGGAUGAGUGGCGAACGGGUGAGUAACACGUGAGCAACCUGCCCUCAUCUCUGGGAUAACUCCGGGAAACCGGGGCUAAUACCGGAUAGGACUUCUCACCGCAUGGUGGGGGGUGGAAAGGGUUUUUCCGGAUGGGGAUGGGCUCGCGGCCUAUCAGCUUGUUGGUGGGGUGAUGGCCUACCAAGGCGAUGACGGGUAGCCGGCCUGAGAGGGCGACCGGCCACACUGGGACUGAGACACGGCCCAGACUCCUACGGGAGGCAGCAGUGGGGAAUCUUGCACAAUGGGCGGAAGCCUGA
rnacentral:rRNA from 1 species